GCCGCCACCCCCAAUGGAUCCUCACCGCGUGCGGCCCCGAUGGCUCCUCGCCGCACGCCGCCCCAUCCUCGUCGAUCUACUCGCGCGCCACCCCAUCCCCACCGCCCCCAACUCCCCUCACGCGCGCUGCCCCGACCACACCUUGCUGCGCGCUGCGCCAUCCUCGUGCAAUCCUCGCCGCACGCCGUCCCAUCCCUUCCCAUUCUCUCAACAUGUUUAAACGUCAUGUUCAAGGAUUUUGUGAUGGUCCUGAUUUCCUAAUCUUGUAGUGCUAGGUUUGGUCAAAUGCUGAGUAGUCCACUCGCCUUCUGCCCCCAACCCGUGAAGGCCUUCGGUGGAUCUGCACGUCGCUGGCUCAAAGUGAACCCUGGCAUAUGAUUGAGACUUGCAGCAGCAUGCUCGAAGGGUGAAACACAUAAGGAGAUCAUGGAACCAGAUAAAGCUCAUUUAUUAGGUACCAUUUAUUGAACAAGCACCUUGUUCUUUGUUUGUAACUUUUGCUCGACCAAUACAACACACAUGAAGCUCAAAUCACAUUUGAUGGAAGUAAAUAUUUAAGGAAAUUUUGCCGAAGUGGUUUGAAUUAAUUGUGGCAUAUGUUAUUCAAAUGAGAGAAUCGAUUAACUCUCUUUUUCUGCAAUUUGGAGGCCUAUAGUUGCUAUUAUUAUUGUUUGAUCACAUCAUAUGCAAUGGUAACACAAUUUGGUCCA